CCGAUGGUAGGGCAAGCCGCCGCCGCCACCACCACCGCUGCCAUGCGGAUGACAAACUUCUAGCUCUUCGGAUCCAUGGUGCCGGUUCCGGUGGCGUCCAUGGCGACGG
rnacentral:pre_miRNA from 1 species